UCCUUAGCUACACCUAUCCCUAUCUCCUCGCGGUACCGGUCGGGGUACGAGCAACCUUAGAGAAGAUCGGGUAACCAACUCCGUUGGGAACUUUGGUCGUAUGCUGACAGGAAAGG
rnacentral:ribozyme from 1 species